GAUGAACGCUGGCGGCGUGCCUAAUACAUGCAAGUCGAGCGAACAGACGAGGAGCUUGCUCCUCUGACGUUAGCGGCGGACGGGUGAGUAACACGUGUAUAACCUACCUAUAAGACUGGGAUAACUUCGGGAAACCGGAGCUAAUACCGGAUAAUAUAUUGAACCGCAUGGUUCAAUAGUCAAAGACGGUUUUGCUGUCACUUAUAGAUGGAUCCGCGCCGCAUUAGCUAGUUGGUAAGGUAACGGCUUACCAAGGCAACGAUGCGUAGCCGACCUGAGAGGGUGAUCGGCCACACUGGAACUGAGACACGGUCCAGACUCCUACGGGAGGCAGCAGUAGGGAAUCUUCCGCAAUGGGCGAAAGCCUGACGGAGCAACGCCGCGUGAGUGAUGAAGGUCUUCGGAUCGUAAAACUCUGUUAUUAGGGAAGAACAAAUGUGUAAGUAACUAUGCACGUCUUGACGGUACCUAAUCAGAAAGCCACGGCUAACUACGUG
rnacentral:rRNA from 1 species